UACGGGGGGUGCAGGCGUUGUUCGGAAUUACUGGGCGUAAAGGGCUCGUAGGCGGCCAACUAAGUCAGACGUGAAAUCCCUCGGCUUAACCGGGGAACUGCGUCUGAUACUGGAUGGCUUGAGUUUGGGAGAGGGAUGCGGAAUUCCAGGUGUAGCGGUGAAAUGCGUAGAUAUCUGGAGGAACACCGGUGGCGAAGGCGGCAUCCUGGACCAACACUGACACUGAGGAGCGAAAGCCAGGGGAGCAAACGGG
rnacentral:rRNA from 1 species